AGCCUCUUGGUGUAAUGGCAGCAUAACUUUCACUGAAUGUCGGGCAGGAAGUGGCGGUAGGUUCGAUUCCUGCAGAGGUCA